rnacentral:ncRNA from 1 species
GGUCCUGGACCUGUAGUUGUUUAUAAUCAAUAUUAUACAUGCAAGCCUCAACGCACCCGUGAAAACGCCCAAUAUUCUUCCUUAUCAAGAAAAAGGAGCAGGUAUCAGGCACACGACACCUCAGUAGCCCAAAACACCUCGCAUCGCCACUCCCCCACGGGUCAACAGCAGUAAUUAAUCUUAAGACAUAAACGAAAGUUUGACUUAGAUAUGAUAUUCAGGGCUGGUAAAUUUCGUGCCAGCCACCGCGGUUACACGAUAAAGCCCAAAACAACUACCAACGGCAAAAAGCAUGACUAUAGGACCUUAUAACUCUACCACAAGGAAAAAUUUUCUAUAAAUUGUAGAACAUGAAAAAGAAAAAGAACAACACAAUCCUUGUCAACCCUUAAUUCAUGAAAGCUUUGACACAAACUGGGAUCAGAUACCCCACUAUGCCUUGCCAUAAACCACAAUUCUCCAUAUUCGCCAGGGAACUACGAGCAAACCGCUUAAAACCCAAAGGACUUGGCGGUGUCCCAAAUCCCCCUAGAGGAGCCUGUCCUAUAAUCGAUGAUCCGCGCUAUACCAAACCAUCUUUUGCCAUUCCCAGCCUAUAUACCGCCGUCGCCAACCCACCCCACAAGGGUGUCAAAGUGGGUACAACUGCCUAAACCACAAAUACGUCAGGUCAAGGUGUAGCUAAUAAGAUGGAAAGCGAUGGGCUACAUUUUCUAAAAUAGAACAUACGAACACCCUCAUGAAACUGAGGCUAGAAGGCGGAUUUAGUAGUAAAAUAAGAAAGAUUACCUAUUUUAAAACUGCAACUGGAACGCGUACACACCGCCCGUCACCCUCUUCAACCAUAAUAAACAUAAUCAUAUAACUAUUAACUAACAAAGAAGAGGCAAGUCGUAACAUGGUAAG